GCGUGAGUGAAGAAGGCCCUAGGGUUGUAAAACUCUUUCAACUGUGAAGAUGAUGACGGUAGCAGUAGAAGAAGCUCCGGCUAACUCCGUGCCAGCAGCCGCGGUAAUACGGAGGGAGCUAGCGUUGUUCGGAAUUACUGGGCGUAAAGCGCACGUAGGCGGCGAAGAUAGUCAGUGGUGAAAGGCCUGGGCUCAACCUGGGAACUGCCAUUGAUACUACUUUGCUAGAGUCCGGGAGAGGAUAGCGGAAUUCCCAGUGUAGAGGUGAAAUUCGU
rnacentral:rRNA from 1 species